UAUUUGAGAGUUUGAUCCUGGCUCAGGAUGAACGCUGGCGGCGUGCAUAACACAUUCAAGUCGAACGGAACAAUAAAGAGCUUGCUUUUUGGUUGUUUAGUGGCGGACGGGUGAGUAAUACAUGAGCAACCUGCCUUAAAGAGGGGGAUAACACCUGGAAACGGGUGCUAAUACCGCGUAAAUCAAGUAGAUGGCAUCAUUUACUUGUGAAAGGAGCAAUCCGCUUUAAGAUGGGCUCAUGUCUGAUUAGAUAGUUGGUAGGGUAAUGGCCUACCAAGUCUGCGAUCAGUAGCCGGACUGAGAGGUUGACCGGCCACAUUGGAACUGAG
rnacentral:rRNA from 1 species